UACGAAGGGGGCUAGCGUUGCUCGGAAUCACUGGGCGUAAAGCGCACGUAGGCGGCUUUCUAAGUCAGGGGUGAAAUCCUGGAGCUCAACUCCAGAACUGCCUUUGAUACUGGAGAGCUUGAGUCCGGAAGAGGGUCGCGGAAUUCCCAGUGUAGAGGUGAAAUUCGUAGAUAUUGGGAAGAACACCGGUGGCGAAGGCGGCGACCUGGUCCAUUACUGACGCUGAGGCGCGACAGCGUGGGGGAGCAAACAGG
rnacentral:rRNA from 1 species